UGAAAGCUAGUGGCGCGAAGCUACCGUGCAUUGGAUUAUGACUGAAAGCCUCUAAGUCAGAAUCCAGGCCAGAAGCGACGCAUUGUCCACUGCUCGUUUGUCGACCAGCAGUAGGGGCCCUCCGGCCCCUAAAGGCACGUGUCGUUGUCUAAGCCCUCGCAAAGAACGAGCCGCGCGGGCCGCCUUGAAUUACAAUUUCCAUAGGGCGGCGGAUUGAAUCCUUUGCAGACGACUUAAAUAUGCGGCGGGGUAUUGUAAGUGGUAGAGUGGCCUUACUGCCACAAUCCACUGAGAUUCAGCCCUUCGUCACUCUGAUUCGU
rnacentral:ncRNA from 1 species